rnacentral:misc_RNA from 1 species
UGGAAGUUGAAAAUGACAGACUGGAAUCAUGAUAUAUUAUUGGUAAUAAAAGUGCGGUAUCCCACUGCACAAACAUUCCAACUUGCAAAAGCAAUCAAGUGAGCUGAUGCUCCAAAUUACUAUUUGGAAGCAUAAAUCCUUUUCUUGGAAUAAAGAGCUUAAAAUGUUUUGUGAAGUAAACUUAAAAAGGUAAGAUUAUAAUUGAACUCAUAAAAACUGUGUUCAAAAUAGUUGUUUCUGAAAGGCUGUACUUGGAAGUAUGGGGUUGAAACAGCACAAUAUUGGUUUUGAAACCUCAACAAGCAAACUAACAUAAAUGGAAAUUAUAUCCUUUGUUUGGGCUGGGAAGAGGGUUUGAGUUGUCAAGGAGUGAGCAAAUGCAGUUCAUUCAGAGAAAAACGCACUGCCAAAAGCUGGAAAAUUAUGGCAUGUGUCUAUCAUCUAGAUGAUGAUAUUGAUGGCAGCAGUAGGUGGUGUUUCAAGAGGAAGCAAUUGGAAAUUAAGCACCAGAGUCAUGUAUCUGGUUGGGGCAGUCACCCCACAUUGACUUGUGCAAAUGGUAGGAUUUUGCUGGUCCUGCCAGUUGCAA